rnacentral:misc_RNA from 1 species
GGUGUCGCUCUCUGGACACAGGUGAGUUAACUAUCUAUUUGCUUUCCACAUAUAAUGCUGUGUGUAUGCAAAAUUGUCUUUGCAUGUAGGCUAGAAUGACUUGGUAGCCAUAAUCGCUAACAGUGGUAAACUUUGGCAUGUUUCAAGCUUUGAUGCCAACCUAUCAACUUCGGUGCUACCUUUAUUCUUGUAUAAUGAAACUGGAUGGAGUUUGAAUGCUUUAUUACUAUUAAAUAUUGAUUCCUUUGAAAGACAUUGUGCCGUAGGAGCUACUGCUUUUACCCUUAUAAAAUGUUCAUGAUUAAAUCUUUGUCUAGUUAAUAGGCAAAAGAAAGAAAGUAUACAAUUACAAGUCUAGCACUUCAUGGUAUUGUAUUGCUAAAUUUAAUUUGCAUAGGAGGGACUAAACACUUUUUUCCCUAUGUUGACUUAAAUAAUUUAAAAUGAUUUAUGGCAAAAAUGGGGUGCUUUAGCUAUUGCAUUCACCUCAGAGUUCACAUGGGAAACUGUCAGUGCUUAUUCCACAGGCACAGGCAUAUAAUCACUCAAAAUAAUUAAUGUUUUCUAUUAUUUUGAAUUUUGUUGACAUUAGUAUUUGUUUUAUUGGUACUGGAUAACUGUGGCUGGGAAAGAGAUGAUUGAUGUUAUAUUCUUUCUAUUUGCUAGUACAUGUUUGUACUGUAAUUUCUGAAUCAUUGGCUCAGAUUUGUGUUCUAGUGUGCUGACAUUUCAUUUUGGCAUUAUGU